rnacentral:lncRNA from 1 species
CAUGGCUAACAUAAGGAACUGUUUAAAAAGAAAAAGGACAGAUCCAUUAAUGAGGUAAUGAAUUAUUGCCUUUAGGUUGGGAUAGACCAGGGCCAGGUAGAAAAGAAUGAAAGAGAAAGACAGGGAGAGGCAGAGAGAGAGAGAGAGAGGAGAAAGUGAGCUCAGCGAGUUGGCCGGGUGACACACUGAUGAAGGGGUCAAAGGACACUCUGAGUUAGUGCCCUCGGGACACACAGCGAACAGUGAUCAUGAAAAGAGUGGACUCAAUAAUUUUCCAUAAACUUGCUCAAGAUUCCAUGCAGUUGCCAUACAGCCUUUGAGGUAUGGUCAACCUAUAGUAAGUUAGUAAAUGAUAAGGGGAGGAAGAAAUGGAAACCUAAACAUCUACCGCAAUGAAAACCAACAGCAAUGUCAGUAGGAGUAAUUCAACCUUCGUUGAAAACAUGAAAUUGAACACACUCUUGUUUUCCCUGGACCUGGCAU